GAUGAACGCUAGCAGCAGGCCUAAUACAUGCAAGUCGAACGGUGUCUUCGGACAUAGUGGCGCACGGGUGCGUAACACGUAUGCAACCUACCUUACAUUGGGGGAUAGCCUUUCGAAAGGGAGAUUAAUACCGCAUAAGACAGUAGCUGGGCAUCCAGCAGCUGUUAAAGAUUUAUCGAUGUAGGCUGGGCAUGCGUCCAAUUAGCUAGUUGGUGAGGUAACGGCUCACCAAGGCAAUGAUUGGUAGGGGAACUGAGAGGUCAAUCCCCCACACUGGCACUGAGAUGCGGGCCAGACUCCUACGGGAGGCAGCAGUAGGGAAUAUUGGGCAAUGGACGCAAGUCUGACCCAGCCAUGCCGCGUGCAGGAUGAAGGCGUUAUGCGUUGUAAACUGCUUUUAUACAGGAAGAAACGACUCUUGCGAGAGGCAUUGACGGUACUGUAUGAAUAAGCACCGGCUAACUCCGUGCCAGCCGCCGCAGUAACAC
rnacentral:rRNA from 1 species